AAGUCAAUUCAAUGCAAUUUUGAAGCACAUGAACUUGCCAACCUUGUCUUUACCCCCGAUAACCCUAGUGGACUCAUGUAGUCACCCAGAAGAUGCCGGGGACGAUCCACUUGUUGAGAGCGAGAUUCCUACUCCUACGCAUGCAGACUCAAGGGGGAUUACAAACCAGACACCUGAUCCUUUUCCAGAUGUUCAGGAAGAGACGCCUUGUGAGCUU